UGGGGAAUAUUUCGCAAUGGACGAAAGUCUGACGGAGCAACGCCGCGUGAGUGAUGAAGGAUUUCGGUUCGUAAAGCUCUGUUGCAGGGGAAAAAGAAAGUGAUUGUACUCUGCGAGAAAGGGACGGCCAACUUCGUGCCAGCAGCCGCGGUAAUACGAAGGUCCCUAGCGUUGUUCGGAAUCAUUGGGCGUAAAGAGCUCGUAGGUGGUUUUGUAAGUCAGGUGUGAAAGCCCCGAGCUUAACUCGGGAAGUGCACUUGAAACUGCUUAACUUGAGUACGGAAGAGGUGAGUGGAAUUCCUGGUGUAGUGGUGAAAUACGUAGAUAUCAGGAGGAACAUCGGUGGCGAAGGCGGCUCACUGGUCCAGUACUGACACUGAGGAGCGAAAGCAUGGGGAUCAAACAGG
rnacentral:rRNA from 1 species